CAUAUCAGGGGGAUAGCCCGGAGAAAUCCGGAUUAACACCGCAUGACACAACGACUCGGCAUCGAGAUGUUGUUAAAUAUUUAUAGGAUAUGGAUGGGCUCGCGUGACAUUAGCUAGUUGGUAAGGUAACGGCUUACCAAGGCUACGAUGUCUAGGGGCUCUGAGAGGAGAAUCCCCCACACUGGUACUGAGACACGGACCAGACUCCUACGGGAGGCAGCAGUAAGGAAUAUUGGUCAAUGGAGGGAACUCUGAACCAGCCAUGCCGCGUGCAGGAUGACUGCCCUAUGGGUUGUAAACUGCUUUUGUCCAGGAAUAACCACCACUACGUGUAGUGGCUUGAAUGUACUGGAAGAAUAAGGAUCGGCUAACUCCGUGCCAGCAGCCGCGGUAAUACGGAGGAUCCGAGCGUUAUCCGGAUUUAUUGGGUUUAAAGGGUGCGUAGGCGGCUCAUUAAGUCAGGGGUGAAAGACGGCAGCUCAACUGUCGCAGUGCCUUUGAUACUGAUGAGCUUGAAUGUGGUUGAAGAUGGCGGAAUGAGACAAGUAGCGGUGAAAUGCAUAGAUAUGUCUCAGAACUCCGAUUGCGAAGGCAGCUGU
rnacentral:rRNA from 1 species